AAUGGUGGAGGAUGAGGAAGGUUUUACAGAAGCAUGUCGUGUACUUGCACUGGACCAUUUCUUGAAGCAUUGAAUGAUGAAAGCAGGUGUUGUUUCAGAUCUUGAAGCUCAGCUAAAAACAGAAGAAAACAGCAGAAUGGCCGAUAGCAGUAAAAAAGGACUUCAGCUCAGCAAGCAGUCUCCAAAUAAAGCAGCAGUGCAAAAAAACAAUAAAACUGUCCUUCAGUCAACCGCCGUGGUGAAAACUUCAGAGAAGAUGGCAGUAAAAGGCGGGUCUUUAACAACUGUUCAAGUAGUAAAAACAAGUACUAAAGUGACGAGAACAUGUGAUGGCCAUGACAAGAAAUAAGCAGGUGUUUGUGAAUCUGACAUUAGAUGCAAUACUGCUUUAUUUACUUGAUUUACUGAAAUAAAAGACGACCUUUUCUUUUCAGGAAGUGAAAAAGAACAAAACAACAGUGGAAUUAAAUGCUUUAUCUGAAAAA